rnacentral:tRNA from 1 species
CGUGGGCUGAGUGGUAAAGCGCUUGGCUUCCGAACCGAGAAAUCCUGGGUUCCAAUCUCAGCG